GGCCGCGUGGCCUAAUGGCUAAGGCGCUAGAUUUCGGUCUUUGAGCCCCGAAUUCUCUAGAGAUUCCAGGUUAGUACACGCACGCAACAACUCGCAUCGUCAUCACCAAUACUAACAUCAUCUCAAGGUUCGACUCCUGGCGUGGUCG
rnacentral:tRNA from 1 species